UCCUACGGGAGGCAGCAGUGGGGAAUAUUGCACAAUGGGGAAAACCCUGAUGCAGCCAUGCCGCGUGUGUGAAGAAGGCCUUCGGGUUGUAAAGCACUUUCAGUUGUGAGGAAAAGUUAGUAGUUAAUACCUGCUAGCCGUGACGUUAACAACAGAAGAAGCACCGGCUAACUCCGUGCCAGCAGCCGCGGUAAUACGGAGGGUGCGAGCGUUAAUCGGAAUUACUGGGCGUAAAGCGCACGCAGGCGGUUUGUUAAGCUAGAUGUGAAAGCCCCGGGCUCAACCUGGGAUGGUCAUUUAGAACUGGCAGACUAGAGUCUUGGAGAGGGGAGUGGAAUUCCAGGUGUAGCGGUGAAAUGCGUAGAUAUCUGGAGGAACAUCAGUGGCGAAGGCGACUCCCUGGCCAAAGACUGACGCUCAUGUGCGAAAGUGUGGGUAGCGAACAGGAUUAGAUACCCUGGUAGUCCACACCGUAAACGCUGUCUACUAGCUGUGUGUGUCUUUAAGACGUGCGUAGCGAAGCUAACGCGCUAAGUAGACCGCCUGGGGAGUACGGCCGCAAGGUUAAAACUCAAAUGAAUUGACGG
rnacentral:rRNA from 1 species